UCCGAGUUGACCCCGGCAGUCUCCUGCGAGUCCCCGCCAUUACGCGCUGGCAACACAGGACAAGGGUUGCGCUCGUUGCGGGACUUAACCCAACAUCUCACGACACGAGCUGACGACAGCCAUGCACCACCUGUAUACCGACCACAAGGGGGGCCGUAUCUCUACGGCUUUCCGGUGUAUGUCAAGCCUUGGUAAGGUGGGGAUGACGUCGUAUCUCACUG
rnacentral:misc_RNA from 1 species